AACUCCCUUAAGGACUAACACCCUCGAAACCAAAAGAGAUACAGUGAGAAACCCUAAUACACCUCCGUCUCCACCUUCUUCUCCAUCAUAUACAUCUCAUCCUAAUCUAUUUAACUUCAGGUAUCAUAUCCCUGCCCCUAUAGAACUCCGUCUGUGUUUGCUCAAGUGAAAACAGGAAAAGCUUUUUUUAAUGAAACCAAAAGAGAUACAGUGAGAAACCCUAAUACAACUCCGUCUCCACGCAAAUGUCAUCAUAUACAUCUCAUCCUAAUCUAUUCAACUUCAGGUAUCAUAUCCUUGCCCCUAUAGAACUCCGUCUGUGUUUGCGAAAGUGAGCUUUCUUCAAAAUCAUCUUAUUUCCUCUCCUAGAACUCAGAAAAGCGAUAAUGGAAGAAAAUCCAGGAAUCCGUUGCAUCUUUUUCUCAAUCUCUUCUGCAUCAAUUGGGGUUUUCAUGUGUUUAAUUAGAUUGAACACUGAUUAGGGUCUCUCUCACUUUCAACCUUAUUAAUCAUAAGGAUACAGUUAGGAUUAGGUUUAUACGGGAUGUACACAUGGUCAGCUACAGCAAAGAUUCUCAAGCAAUUACAUUUGAUUGACGGGUUGCAUGGGAUCGUUGCUAAGAACCUGAUUUGGAAAUUUGCUUUGGAGGGUUGUUCCAUUUGUCUUGAGCGUUUCACACAGUUGGUCGAAAAACAACAUUUUCUUCCUGCGAAGAAUGCCCACCGUGUCUUUUCAAGUGUAACACCACGUGCAAGUUUGAGCAAUAAACUACGCAAAUGUCAUCAUCCUCGAGGCACCAGCUGGUGUUGCAGUUUCAUAUCUGAAUUCCAACCAAACCAUUCCAACUAAACCAUCAUUAGCUUGAAAAGAAUUAAUGCUUUUAUAGGACCAAUAUGCCGCCCACAUAAAAAUUCAAUCAGCAGACGUGCUUAUUGUGGGUUGAUGCAAGAUGAAGGGGUCAUAGAUUCGAUGUUGGAGAGCCAGUAGAUUAUUACUUGGUGUAUAUGUAUGCUUCUUAAUUUUGGCUUACUUAUUAGUAAGAUAUUUAAGCAUUGUUUUAAGUAGUAAGGGUUUGGAAAUGUGAUCUCUUAAUGUAAAACUAAGUGGUGUUGAUGAGUGUAAGUUGGUGAGUCGUGGUGGCCGUGAGUGUAACGUGUUUGGUGGUGCUGUUGGUGAAUGUGUGGUGGUGAGUGUGGUCGAGGUUGAUGCUGGUGGUAGCCUAUGUGGUGGCUUAACAUUUUUUUUUUUGGUUUCUUAUGGUAAAGAUUUUGCAUUAAUUUGUGUCGGAUUUAUAAAGGGAAUUAAGAAAAUGGUGUUAGGCACAAUGGGGCUGCAUUGCUUUGAUCAA